rfam:Ictidomys tridecemlineatus contig003296, whole genome shotgun sequence.
AUAGCUUCUCGGCCUUUUGGCUAAGAUCAAGUGUAGUGUAUCUCUCUCUCUCUCUCUCUCUCUCUAUAUAUAUAUAUUUUUUUUUUAAUUACUUUUGAAGAGUUGUUUCCAAACCAGGCUGCAUGACACCAGAAGCCCCUGAGGCAAGUUUUAAAAAUAAACCUUGCCAGGCCUUCCUGGUCAGGUUCUGAGUUC